CCUGGUGGGCAUUUCAAUACUGUCCGUCAAGCAGAGUUUCUACCCUCAGAAAUAAUCUCUUGAACCCACCUUCUUCUUAAAUGCCAACCAAUAAAAAGAACAACCUGGGCAGUCUCCACACUUUGUAUUAAGUUACCUCCAAAACGGCAUUUGAACCUGCCCCCUGCAUUACAUAAAGAAACCGAACUUGUUAAAGAUCCUUACUUACCAGGCUGCUAGGCUCUAUGCUUCCUUUUAGUAUAGUCUGCCAUCCAAACUCUCAAAAAUUUUAACUGCUUCUUGCCUUCCCUCUCAAUCCAAAUGUGUGGAGUUUUAUCGUAAAAGUGAAAUGAGAGAAGCAGAACUCAUCCCGGAAUAGAAAGGUUGUCACUUCUACCUAUUAUACCAGAGUUCUGAAUUCCAGGGAUAUGAAGUAGACGCAACUAAAAUGGCAUUCGAUGGCGUUGGUCGUGUCGAAGGCGGGAUAAAGAACUUCGCCCUGGCACUGGAGGGCUGGGCCCCGGGGAUGUUCCUGGGAGCGGCUCACAGGCCCCAGCCUGCAGCCUCAGGCCCCUGGGCAGGGGUGUGCGCAUGCUCGUGAUGACGCCUGCGGGAAGAAGGGAGCUGGAUUACAUUCAUACCUUCGACAGAUAUUAUGUGCUGGUCCUGCUGUAGGCCCUGAACAGCUGUGAGCAAGGAGUGCAUACAGUAGAGUCACACAGACAGAAAUAAAACAGACAACAGACACGUAAAAAGCUUUCUCUAUCAGGAGAGAAGAAAAGGUAAACGAGUAAUUGAAAAUUCGAAAAACAAACAUUAAUGAAACUAACCAGAAAGAUGCCGUAAGAUGGAAUGGGAGUGUUGGCUUCCACAUUGUGAGGAAAGGAUGGUGAUUGCUCUGAAAACCAGGACAUUUGGCUCAAGAGCCAACAAUUGCUUAAACUAAAAAGAAGAGAAAAGAGAGACAAAGGGACCAUCGGAAGUAGCAGAGUGUAGUAUAAGUACCUGGCAUUAAGCUUUUAAUUGCAUCCAACUCAAAUGACAUCCAUCUUGAAUAAACAUACAGCUAGCUGUGUGAUGAAGCUACUAGCAAAACAACCAUCUAAGGAAUGGGCCUGCCCCCACCCAUGAAGUUCCCUCCUUCAGAAAGCCCUGGGUGACCUACAGAACUGACCACCCAAGUGACCCCACAUCC